rnacentral:lncRNA from 1 species
UCCAAACAUAUAUCACUUCAUUUUCAACUCACUUAUACUAUCGUCAAUUUUUCUAAAAUCAAUUGUGACAACGAUGAUCCAAACAUGCACGAACAUGGUCCAUCAACACUGAUCUAUUCCUUGUAAACCAACAACACUUGCCCAUUUGCUCAAAAAAACUUCAAUCCGCUACCCAACUAGCUUUCCGCCAUGACUUAAUCCAAUCCAAAAGCCAACCUAAUCCUAGUGAUACGACAAUUGCCUAACAGUCCUAGCCCAGUCAUCAUGCAAAUUUAGUACAGGUUAGCAUUACACAUAACAUAACUAAGCAAAAUAUUACCAAAAUAAACAUCAAGGUCAAGCUAACACCUUUCCCGCUAAAUAUUAAGGCACACAAUAUAAUCUGCUAAACAAUAUGAUUGACCCCAAUAUAGCACUCACUAAUAGACUGUCUGCACUAUCAUCACACAUGCCGCAGUGUGCAAUAGAAAGUGGUUUUUUUUUUUGUCAAACACAUAUACAGUGAAUAACUUCCAUAACUCCUCCCAACUAAUUUACCCAUUUUAACUUAGUGCAUGUUUGGAAAUUCUUCUACAGUUGACUCUAAAGGUAGAACAAAUUCUUGGAAGAAGCUUCUGUGAAAAAUAAGCUGAUUCAUAACAGAAUGUUCAAAACUUCAAAGAGAUGGGAGAUCUCCCCAGGACGGUUACCAGGAAAGAUCAACCUAGAGAACAAGGCAAAGAAGCGGAAAUAUAGAAUAGAAUCUAGUUGCCUGCUUUUGACACAAGUCAUGAAGAAAAAAUUGAAGGCAAUAGAAAAGCAUCAAAUUAAAGACAGACGUAUAAUGUAUUGGUCAUUCCACCAGAAUAGGCGAAUAGACAUUAGUCAGUAGAAAAGCAUAAUGUAAUUACCCAAAUCCAGGUUCUACAUAUAAAUCAUCAAGAGCAGAACAAAAGUACAAUGAGUUAUUGUGUUUUCAAUUGUAUGAAAAUUCCAUAUCCAACUUGCUAUGAACCUUACAUAAGGUUCACAAAGAAUAUUUGGCAACAAGGGAAACUAUGGAAACCAACAAAACACCUAGGAAACAACACAUGUUGAUCAUCCAACAUCAUGUAGUAAUAACACAUUGAUCAUCCAACACCAUGUAGUAAUGAUCAAUACUUCAACCUAGAUCAUUUUUUCUUCCUUAAUCACAAUUGCUAGUACUUAGAUUCUAAAAACCAGUCUAUGUACUCAAACUAUUGAUAAAUACAGCAAAUUAAAUUAAUCACCAUGUAAUUAUUAGAUAUUAAAUGAUAUAUUCUGUACAAUAUUUACAGUAAUUACCCAAUUGAACAAGGAAGCAAUAGCCAAUCACGACCCAACAAAGAAUUGAUUUGUUGAUCAGCUCAGAACUUCACCGAUUCAGCAAACCGGAGCCAAUCUGGCGGGAACUUUUUCCCUUUCAGAAUCCACAAUCGACCCAU